rnacentral:snoRNA from 1 species
CAGCCAGCCAAUUAAUCUGCUUAUCUGAAUGUGUUUCUGCAGAAAUUUAGAAACAGCUGGCAAUAGCAAUGCCUUUUUAUGAGCCUUAAGGACAACUGAGGUCAUUAGAGUCCUGCAGAAUGGCCACGAUA